rnacentral:rRNA from 1 species
UGAGGAAUUUUGCGCAAUGGGGGAAACCCUGACGCAGCAACGCCGCGUGGGCGAUGAAGGCCUUCGGGUCGUAAAGCCCUGUCGGGCGGGAAGAACGAUCUUGGUCGAAGGACUGGGGGGUGACGGUACAGCCAGAGGAAGCACCGGCUAACUCCGUGCAAGCAGCCGCGGUAAUACGGAGGGUGCAAGCGUAAUUCGGACUUACUGGGCGUAAAGGGCGUGCAGGCGGGAGAGCAAGUCUGAUGUGAAAGCCCGGGGCGUAACCCCG